ACUAAGCGUACACGGUGGAUGCCCUGGCAGUCAGAGGCGAUGAAGGACGUGCUAAUCUGCGAUAAGCGUCGGUAAGGUGAUAUGAACCGUUAUAACCGGCGAUUUCCGAAUGGGGAAACCCAGUGUGUUUCGACACACUAUCAUUAACUGAAUCCAUAGGUUAAUGAGGCGAACCGGGGGAACUGAAACAUCUAAGUACCCCGAGGAAAAGAAAUCAACCGAGAUUCCCCCAGUAGCGGCGAGCGAACGGGGAGCAGCCCAGAGCCUGAAUCAGUGUGUGUGUUAGUGGAAGCGUCUGGAAAGGCGCGCGAUACAGGGUGACAGCCCCGUACACAAAAAUGCACAUACUGUGAGCUCGAUGAGUAGGGCGGGACACGUGGUAUCCUGUCUGAAUAUGGGGGGACCAUCCUCCAAGGCUAAAUACUCCUGACUGACCGAUAGUGAACCAGUACCGUGAGGGAAAGGCGAAAAGAACCCCGGCGAGGGGAGUGAAAAAGAACCUGAAACCGUGUACGUACAAGCAGUGGGAGCCUCUUAAUGGGGUGACUGCGUACCUUUUGUAUAAUGGGUCAGCGACUUAUAUUCUGUAGCAAGGUUAACCGAAUAGGGGAGCCGAAGGGAAACCGAGUCUUAACUGGGCGUUAAGUUGCAGGGUAUAGACCCGAAACCCGGUGAUCUAGCCAUGGGCAGGUUGAAGGUUGGGUAACACUAACUGGAGGACCGAACCGACUAAUGUUGAAAAAUUAGCGGAUGACUUGUGGCUGGGGGUGAAAGGCCAAUCAAACCGGGAGAUAGCUGGUUCUCCCCGAAAGCUAUUUAGGUAGCGCCUCGUGAAUUCAUCUCCGGGGGUAGAGCACUGUUUCGGCAAGGGGGUCAUCCCGACUUACCAACCCGAUGCAAACUGCGAAUACCGGAGAAUGUUAUCACGGGAGACACACGGCGGGUGCUAACGUCCGUCGUGAAGAGGGAAACAACCCAGACCGCCAGCUAAGGUCCCAAAGUCAUGGUUAAGUGGGAAACGAUGUGGGAAGGCCCAGACAGCCAGGAUGUUGGCUUAGAAGCAGCCAUCAUUUAAAGAAAGCGUAAUAGCUCACUGGUCGAGUCGGCCUGCGCGGAAGAUGUAACGGGGCUAAACCAUGCACCGAAGCUGCGGCAGCGACACUAUGUGUUGUUGGGUAGGGGAGCGUUCUGUAAGCCUGUGAAGGUGUACUGUGAGGUAUGCUGGAGGUAUCAGAAGUGCGAAUGCUGACAUAAGUAACGAUAAAGCGGGUGAAAAGCCCGCUCGCCGGAAGACCAAGGGUUCCUGUCCAACGUUAAUCGGGGCAGGGUGAGUCGACCCCUAAGGCGAGGCCGAAAGGCGUAGUCGAUGGGAAACAGGUUAAUAUUCCUGUACUUGGUGUUACUGCGAAGGGGGGACGGAGAAGGCUAUGUUGGCCGGGCGACGGUUGUCCCGGUUUAAGCGUGUAGGCUGGUUUUCCAGGCAAAUCCGGAAAAUCAAGGCUGAGGCGUGAUGACGAGGCACUACGGUGCUGAAGCAACAAAUGCCCUGCUUCCAGGAAAAGCCUCUAAGCAUCAGGUAACAUCAAAUCGUACCCCAAACCGACACAGGUGGUCAGGUAGAGAAUACCAAGGCGCUUGAGAGAACUCGGGUGAAGGAACUAGGCAAAAUGGUGCCGUAACUUCGGGAGAAGGCACGCUGAUAUGUAGGUGAAGUCCCUUGCGGAUGGAGCUGAAAUCAGUCGAAGAUACCAGCUGGCUGCAACUGUUUAUUAAAAACACAGCACUGUGCAAACACGAAAGUGGACGUAUACGGUGUGACGCCUGCCCGGUGCCGGAAGGUUAAUUGAUGGGGUUAGCGGUAACGCGAAGCUCUUGAUCGAAGCCCCGGUAAACGGCGGCCGUAACUAUAACGGUCCUAAGGUAGCGAAAUUCCUUGUCGGGUAAGUUCCGACCUGCACGAAUGGCGUAAUGAUGGCCAGGCUGUCUCCACCCGAGACUCAGUGAAAUUGAACUCGCUGUGAAGAUGCAGUGUACCCGCGGCAAGACGGAAAGACCCCGUGAACCUUUACUAUAGCUUGACACUGAACAUUGAGCCUUGAUGUGUAGGAUAGGUGGGAGGCUUUGAAGUGUGGACGCCAGUCUGCAUGGAGCCGGCCUUGAAAUACCACCCUUUAAUGUUUGAUGUUCUAACGUUGGCCCCUGAUCGGGGUUGCGGACAGUGUCUGGUGGGUAGUUUGACUGGGGCGGUCUCCUCCUAAAGAGUAACGGAGGAGCACGAAGGUUGGCUAAUCCUGGUCGGACAUCAGGAGGUUAGUGCAAUGGCAUAAGCCAGCUUGACUGCGAGCGUGACGGCGCGAGCAGGUGCGAAAGCAGGUCAUAGUGAUCCGGUGGUUCUGAAUGGAAGGGCCAUCGCUCAACGGAUAAAAGGUACUCCGGGGAUAACAGGCUGAUACCGCCCAAGAGUUCAUAUCGACGGCGGUGUUUGGCACCUCGAUGUCGGCUCAUCACAUCCUGGGGCUGAAGUAGGUCCCAAGGGUAUGGCUGUUCGCCAUUUAAAGUGGUACGCGAGCUGGGUUUAGAACGUCGUGAGACAGUUCGGUCCCUAUCUGCCGUGGGCGCUGGAGAACUGAGGGGGGCUGCUCCUAGUACGAGAGGACCGGAGUGGACGCAUCACUGGUGUUCGGGUUGUCAUGCCAAUGGCACUGCCCGGUAGCUAAAUGCGGAAGAGAUAAGUGCUGAAAGCAUCUAAGCACGAAACUUGCCCCGAGAUGAGUUCUCCCUGACUCUUUAAGGGUCCUGAAGGAACGUUGAAGACGACGACGUUGAUAGGCCGGGUGUGUAAGCGCAGCGAUGCGUUGAGCUAACCGGUACUAAUGAACCGUGAGGCUUAACC
rnacentral:rRNA from 1 species